AUAAUAAAAAUAAGUAAAAAGAAAAAAAAAAUUAGUUUUCGAGAAUAAAUAAAAUUUGAUAAUAUAAUAUCGAUACAAUUAGUAUAAGUGUUAUCGUUCUAUCUCUCCAAUUGUCUAUUCUCGACUGCUGAGUCGUUGCCCUUGCCAAUGUACAUACGCGAUCGAUGGCGCUCGUAUAAAUAUAGCGUGCGUAUACAUGCGACAAAUUUAAUUUAAAUUUCUGAAUUUCAUUAAUUAAGAUCGAUCGAUAUAUUUCGACACGUUCAAAUAUGUCUUCACAUAUUUUUCUAAAGAAACAACCUUUUUCCUGAUUUCAUAUCGAUUAUUAAACAUUCUCGUAACAAGAAAAUUGCGAUGCAUCAAUGGAAUCAAUGCGAUGGAUCCAGCCAUGCAAAACUAGACGCGAUAUAACACGUUCCAGUUGUCGGACGAGCAUAGCAUAUAUCAUCCUUUCUACCACUAAAAGUGGCUCAAUUGCGACGAAUUUCCACAGGAGAAUAAUACGUGACAUUAUCCCCACUGCCAUUGCUAGAUACAAGUCACGUGAUCAGACAUCCGCCAAAACCAAGCAACGUGUCACAUGACAUACCUCUGCCUAAUGUACCAAUGACAAUGAGGAUAAUGACGUCAUGUGAUCAGACACCUGUCCAAACCAAAGAACCGUGUCGUACGACUCGCCUUCAUCAACGUAUCAAUGACAGUGAGGAUAAUUUGACGUCACGUAUUUUUUUUAAUGAAAAUUAAGCAGAUACACGUAUGUCAACGUGUCAUAUGACGUGCCUCUGCCUAAUGUAUCGAUGAUAGUGAGGAUAAUGUGACGUCACGUGAUCAAAUACCCCUUCAAAUCAAUGGAAAUUCUAGCAGAUACACAUAUGUGAUCAGACACUUGCCCAAACAAGUAUCGUACAACGUGUCUUUGUCUAACGUAUCAAUGAUAGUGAGGUUAUGUAAUCUUUUUUACAAAUUAGAUAAAAGCAUGUCACGUAAUUAUGGAUUUAUCAAAAGCAACGUGCCUCACGGCGUGCCUAACGUAUCAACGAGGAUAAUGUGACAUCAUUUAAUCUUUUCUAAAGGAAAUAAGGCAGAGAGGAGAUAAUGUGAUGCUCGAUUUUGAACUUUUAUCACGUGACGUAUCUCUCACGUGACUGUCUAACAUGCAAUAACAGUACAAUGGUAUGAUUGAUUAUAGUUCGUGGCGUAUUGCCAGGCAUUGGUAAAUUAACCAAAGGAUAACUACAAGAAAAAAUAGUAAUCAAAAUAACAUUACUUGCUUUUAAUUGCUAUUUACCUACCGAGUUAUGAAUGAAUAUAAAAUUCAAAAAAGGAAAU